AAUGAAAUGCCUGAAAAAGGGUUAUCUUGAUAGGAUAAAUCAUGUAAAUUAAUAUUACUUUG
rnacentral:tRNA from 1 species